rnacentral:lncRNA from 1 species
UUUGGGGUUUCGUUUUCUUACUUCUCUUUGCCUUGUCAUUUCUUAUGGCAUUCUAAAGGCCGUGUUUUAGAAGCGUCACACUUUCUAUUUUAAAAUUAUUCAUUAUUAGGAUAAUAAAAAGCAUAAUACAAAUUUUUAAGAAAAGAUUAGCUGCCAGUUUUUCAAUUUCAAAAAAUAUAAUUUUAAGUUUGGGUUAUUUUCUUUGCUUAGACUUCUUGAAGGCUUUCCUAUUUACUGUGGACUUGGCAGCAAUUGAUCAAAAAGGGACGUGGUUGUUUUCAAGGGCACUAUGAUGGGGCUGACCAAGAACGAACACAGACAGAAGCACGAAGCC